GACGAACGCUGGCGGCGUGCUUAACACAUGCAAGUCGAACGGUGAAGCUCCAGCUUGCUGGAGUGGAUCAGUGGCGAACGGGUGAGUAACACGUGAGCAACCUGCCCCUGACUCUGGAAUAAGCGCUGGAAACGGCGUCUAAUACUGGAUACGAGAAGGGUCCGCAUGGGCACUUUCUGGAAAGUUUUUCGGUUGGGGAUGGGCUCGCGGCCUAUCAGCUUGUUGGUGAGGUAAUGGCUCACCAAGGCGACGACGGGUAGCCGGUCUGAGAGGGCGACCGGCCACACUGGGACUGAGACACGGCCCAGACUCCUACGGGAGGCAGCAGUGGGGAAUAUUGCACAAUGGGCGAAAGCCUGAUGCAGCGACGCCGCGUGAGGGAUGACGGCCUUCGGGUUGUAAACCUCUUUCAGCAGGGAAGAAGCGAAAGUGACGGUACCUGCAGAAGAAGCACCGGCUAACUACGU
rnacentral:rRNA from 1 species